GCUUUCUUCAGCAGCGUAUAUCAAAACUGGAAAUGCACAGAGAAGGUUAGCAUGGCCUAUACGCAAGGAUGACUUGCAAAUUCAAGAAGUGUUCCAUAGUUUU
ensembl:snRNA U6 U6 spliceosomal RNA